rnacentral:rRNA from 1 species
GGUGAACGCUGGCGGCGUGCUUAACACAUGCAAGUCGAACGAAGCACUUUAUUUGAUUUCCUUCGGGACUGAUUAUUUUGUGACUGAGUGGCGGACGGGUGAGUAACGCGUGGGUAACCUGCCUUGUACAGGGGGAUAACAGUUGGAAACGGCUGCUAAUACCGCAUAAGCGCACAGCAUCGCAUGAUGCAGUGUGAAAAACUCCGGUGGUAUAAGAUGGACCCGCGUUGGAUUAGCUAGUUGGUGAGGUAACGGCCCACCAAGGCGACGAUCCAUAGCCGACCUGAGAGGGUGACCGGCCACAUUGGGACUGAGACACGGCCCAAACUCCUACGGGAGGCAGCAGUGGGGAAUAUUGCACAAUGGGCGAAAGCCUGAUGCAGCGACGCCGCGUGAGCGAAGAAGUAUUUCGGUAUGUAAAGCUCUAUCAGCAGGGAAGAUAAUGACGGUACCUGACUAAGAAGCACCGGCUAAAUACGU